rnacentral:rRNA from 1 species
CAGCCGCCACGGUAAUACGAAGGGUGCAAGCGUUAAUCGGAAUUACUGGGCGUAAAGCGUGCGUAGGCGGUGAGUUAAGUCUGUUGUGAAAUCCCCGGGCUCAACCUGGGAAUGGCAAUGGAUACUGGCAAGCUAGAGUGUGUCAGAGGAUGGUGGAAUUUCCGGUGUAGCAGUGAAAUGCGUAGAGAUCGGAAGGAACAUCUGUGGCGAAGGCGACUAUCUGGGCCAACACUGACACUGAGGCACGAAAGCGUGGGGAGCAAACAGGAUUAGAGACCCCCGUAGUCCCUGUCUCUUAUAC